rnacentral:rRNA from 1 species
UACGUAGGUCCCGAGCGUUGUCCGGAUUUAUUGGGCGUAAAGCGAGCGCAGGUGGUUUAUUAAGUCUGGUGUAAAAGGCAGUGGCUCAACCAUUGUAUGCAUUGGAAACUGGUAGACUUGAGUGCAGGAGAGGAGAGUGGAAUUCCAUGUGUAGCGGUGAAAUGCGUAGAUAUAUGAAGGAACACCGGUGGCGAAAGCAGCUCUCUGGCCUGUAACUGACACUGAGGCUCGAAAGCGUGGGGAGCAAACAGG